GACGGAAGGUGCAAGCGUUGCUCGGAAUCACUGGGCGUAAAGGGCGCGUAGGCGGACAGCUUAGUCAGAGGUGAAAGCCCAGGGCUCAACCUUGGAAUUGCCUUUGAUACUGGCUAUCUUGAGUUCGGGAGAGGUGAGUGGAACUCCUGGUGUAGCGGUGGAAUGCGCAGAUAUCAGGAAGAACACCAACGGCGAAGGCAGCUCGCUGGGACGGUACUGACGCUGAGACGCGAAAGCGUGGGGAGCAAACAGG
rnacentral:rRNA from 1 species